rnacentral:rRNA from 1 species
AUGCAACAACCUUCGAACUCACCGGAUAUGAAUAUCCUAGACCUUGGCCUAUUUUCCUCACUACAGUCCAUGUUAGAUAGAUUGUUCUCUAACAAUUUAGAUGAGCUAAUCAACAAUGUACAGCAGGAAUAUGAUGCCUAUGAUGCUGAUAAAAUAAACAUGAUUUUUCUUACACUACAAAGCUGCUUAAUUGAGGUCACGAAGAGAGGUGGAGGCAACGACUAA